CUAAGUUUGAUGGCGACCGGCGCACGGGUGAGUAACACGUAUCCAACCUGCCGAUGACUCGGGGAUAGCCUUUCGAAAGAAAGAUUAAUACCCGAUGGCAUAGUUCUUCCGCAUGGUGGAACUAUUAAAGAAUUUCGGUCAUCGAUGGGGAUGCGUUCCAUUAGGUUGUUGGCGGGGUAACGGGCCCACCAAGCCUUCGAUGGAUAGGGGUUCUGAGAGGAAGGUCCCCCACAUUGGAACUGAGACACGGUCCAAACUCCUACGGGAGGCAGCAUG
rnacentral:rRNA from 1 species